rnacentral:rRNA from 1 species
UACGAAGGGGGCUAGCGUUGCUCGGAAUCACUGGGCGUAAAGCGCACGUAGGCGGCUUUCUAAGUCAGGGGUGAAAUCCUGGAGCUCAACUCCAGAACUGCCUUUGAUACUGCAAAUCUCGAGUCCGGAAGAGGUGAGUGGAAUUCCUAGUGUAGAGGUGAAAUUCGUAGAUAUUAGGAAGAACACCAGUGGCGAAGGCGGCUCACUGGUCCGGUACUGACGCUGAGGUGCGAAAGCGUGGGGAGCAAACAGG